AAGCAAAGCGAAGGAGAUGGGAAAGUAAGGGUCUGCGAGCAAGAGGAGAGGGAGGGAGCUGAUGGUUUCUCAGUUUAUGUGACUCAGAUUCUGAGAAUGAUAUAAGAGAAGAAAACGAAAGGUCUCUUUGGAUAUGUUUAUUUAUACCACCAUAAAAAUGACAACACUUUGGUAUAGGGUCAAAAUUCAGUUGGUUUGGUUUUUUAAUGAUUUUUUGGUUAAAAAAUUGAACCGAACCAAAAACCGAACUAUCAUAAAAUCUUAAAUCAAUACCGAACCGAUUAAAUAGAAAACCGAACUGAAAAAAGGAAUUAAAUCAGUUCGGUUUUUCGGUUAAAACCGUUAUGUGCUCACCCUUGCUUAAGAAGUUGAAUGGGGAGUGGCCUACGUUAGUAUAGUUGUUGAUACUUUUGUGGACAAACUGGCUGUGCAUCUACAUCAUGUUUUUGUACUGAAUAAAGCAUGAAAUUAGGUUUGCUCAAGAAGUAAUGUCCAUUAUUCUAGAGGAUGAACUGUUAACUCUUAGAUAUAUCUUAUAUGUACUAUGGAUAAUAAAGAUGAUAAAUAAUUAAAUAUAUGUUGGGCUUAUCAGCUUAUGACAAUCACUUUUGAUCCUUAACUGAAUACUUUUUGAUUGCUAUUUUGUUAGCCUACAGAGGUAUGAAUCUGUAAUGGAUUGAAUGAUUUUAACCUUUUAUGUAUGCCACAUUUCUUUCUUUGGCAAAAAUGUUCAGUGAUCCACUUAGAGAAACUGGGAAAGUUGUGGAUGUU
rnacentral:misc_RNA from 1 species